UGUCAAAUCUGUAUAAAUUUUAAACCCUAUAAAAUAAUUAUGUACAAGUAGGCUACUUGAAUUAAAUAAAACAUUGUAUUUAAAUCAUCAGUCAUAUUUAAUACAAUUUACUAGAUCAUAAUAUAAUCCAAUAAAAUAAGACAUAUUACACUGCAUAAUGAACACUUUUACUUUUGUUUUUAUGUUGAAUGCUGGACUUGUAACUGACAAGUAAUUUGUAACUCUACAACACUGUUUUUUUCUACUUUUACUGCAAUACAUGAUCUGAGUAAGUCUUCCACCUCUGGAAAUCACCAACA